CUGGUGUUUCAUCGUCUUUUUCUUGUGAAGAGAGAGUGAGAUGGGAGUGGAAAAAGCAGAGGCGUUGUUGGAUUCGUUGAUCGCCGGGUUCAACAGUCAGAUCUUAGAGCUCCAAGAGCUCGUUAUUGCUCGAAAUAUGCUCAAGCUCAGAUAUAUGGGUUAAUUUCAUUUCUGGUGGCUGGAGAAAACUGAAAAAGAAAUUAGGGAUCAUGUCUCAAUUUGUUUCAAGCUUUUCAGAAUGAGUCUACGGAUUAUAUAUGGUGGCAGGUAAAUGGGUCUAGACUUUGUUUAUAGCAUGAUUUUGAUGUUUUGGCAGGGAUUUGGGUAUUUGUUUCUGGUGGCUGCAGAAUAUUUGGUUCAGGGCGAUGGGCUACGGACAUCUUUUUGUAGAAGUACUUCUUUUUGC